rnacentral:rRNA from 1 species
UACAGAGGGUGCGAGCGUUGUCCGGAAUCACUGGGCGUAAAGGGCGCGUAGGUGGCCCGACAAGCCUGUGGUGAAAGCUCGACGCUCAACGUCGAGUCGGCCAUAGAUACUGUUGGGCUGGAGCACUGUAGAGGCUCAUGGAAUUCCGGGUGUAGCGGUGGAAUGCGUAGAGAUCCGGAAGAACACCGGUGGCGAAGGCGGUGAGCUGGGCAGUAGCUGACACUGAGGCGCGACAGCGUGGGGAGCAAACAGG